AACAACACGAAAGGAGGUGAUCCAGUGUCUCAUUGUCUCAUGCUUGGUUCCGAAGCGCUGGUGGUUGCGGUGGGAAUCGCAACAAUCUGAGAAGACACCGCCUUUCGGUCUAACAAGCCGACAAUGCGGGAAGGGCCGCCGGGCAACCGGCGGCCCU
rnacentral:sRNA from 1 species